rnacentral:rRNA from 1 species
AUUGGACGCUGGCGGCAUGCCUUACACAUGCAAGUCGAACGGCAGCGCGGACUUCGGUCUGGCGGCGAGUGGCGAACGGGUGAGUAAUGUAUCGGAACGUACCAUUCAGUGGGGGAUAACGCAGCGAAAGUUGCGCUAAUACCGCAUAUUCUGUGCGCAGGAAAGCAGGGGAUCGCAAGACCUUGCGCUGAUUGAGCGGCCGAUAUCAGAUUAGCUAGUUGGUGAGGUAAAGGCUCACCAAGGCGACGAUCUGUAGCGGGUCUGAGAGGAUGAUCCGCCACACUGGAACUGAGACACGGUCCAGACUCCUACGGGAGGCAGCAGUGGGGAAUUUUGGACAAUGGGCGCAAGCCUGAUCCAGCCAUGCCGCGUGGGUGAAGAAGGCCUUCGGGUUGUAAAGCUCUUUCGGCCGGGAAGAAAUCGUAUGGGUUAAUACCCUGUGCGGAUGACGGUACCGGCAUAAGAAGCACCGGCUAACUACGUGCCAGCAGCCGCAGUAACAC